rnacentral:snRNA from 1 species
AGUUGGGACAUCAGCCACCCCAUUGAUAGCUCAGGUUGAUUCAGCUGAUCUAGCUGGAUGAGGCAGCAUCCCCUU